AACGAACGCUGGCGGCAGGCUUAACACAUGCAAGUCGAACGCAUCCUUCGGGGUGAGUGGCAGACGGGUGAGUAACGCGUGGGAACGUGCCCUUCAGUUCGGGAUAACCCAGGGAAACUUGGGCUAAUACCGGAUACGUGCGAGAGCAGAAAGAUUUAUCGCCGAAGGAUCGGCCCGCGUCUGAUUAGCUAGUUGGUGGGGUAAUGGCCCACCAAGGCGACGAUCAGUAGCUGGUCUGAGAGGAUGAUCAGCCACAUUGGGACUGAGACACGGCCCAAACUCCUACGGGAGGCAGCAGUGGGGAAUAUUGGACAAUGGGCGCAAGCCUGAUCCAGCCAUGCCGCGUGAGUGAUGAAGGCCUUCGGGUUGUAAACCUCUUUCAGCAUCGACGAAGCGAAAGUGACGGUAGGUGCAGGAGAAGGACCGGCCAACUACGUGCCAGCCGCCGCCGUAA
rnacentral:rRNA from 1 species